AGGGUGAACGCUGGCGGCAGGCCUAACACAUGCAAGUCGAACGGCAGCACAGCCCUAGCAAUAGGGUGGGUGGCGAGUGGCGGACGGGUGAGGAAUACAUCGGAAUCUACCUUGUCGUGGGGGAUAACGUAGGGAAACUUACGCUAAUACCGCAUACGAACUAUGGUUGAAAGCGGCGGACCGCAAGGCGUCGCGCGAUUGGAUGAGCCGAUGUCCGAUUAGCUAGUUGGCGGGGUAAAGCCCACCAAGGCGACGAUCGGUAGCUGGUCUGAGAGGAUGAUCAGCCACACUGGAACUGAGACACGGUCCAGACUCCGUACGGGAGCAGCAGUGGGAAUAGUGGACAAGUGGGCGACAAGCCUGAUCCAGCCAGUCGCCGCGUGUGUGAAGAAGGUCCUUCGGUUAGUAAGCUACGUUUUUGGUUAGGGAAGAAAG
rnacentral:rRNA from 1 species